CCGGCAUGCGCGCCGCCGCCCUCUGGCCAUCGCCGGCAUCCCGCUCGAACCCGUGGACCCGAGGAAGAUGGAUUCGAUGGAUGAUGGGAAGGAGCAGUGGCUGCCUCGUGGUGACCUCGAUACUGCUACUGAUGGAGCCUGAUGCCCGCGACUAUACCUCCUAAGUCGGAGGCGGCGUACCAUGUGUCGACUGCCCUGAACCCUGGUCCUCAUGAUCACGUCAACCAACAGGGUCAACGACAAGGAUGCUUCUGAUGUAGUAGGUCUGGAUGCGACACCUUUCCUGAAUUUGCUUAUGUAUGAUGCAUUUCAUAGUGUUUCUUCUAUCACGGUAACAAGAAUCUCUACCUACUUUAUUGGUGUAUGGUCAAUGUAUUGGUGAGAAAUUGAGGUUGAAUACCAAUAUACGCACAUACAGAAGCAAUGGUUGAUGACAACAACAGCCUUGUAGCUUCAGGAGUGGAGCAUGGAGGAGGGCUCUGUAUUGUGGCGGGGAAGGAGAGGAGGAACUGUGCAUCCGGGAAUGGCGCGACCGCCGAUCCUAUUUGUUGCUCUAUUGUCCGA